GGAAAUUUGAAAAGUCAUCAAUGGCCAUUCUCAUGAUUGAAAGAACAAUUAUAGCAGGCUUUGCAACAACUUCUGCCUCUGGACAAAAAGUUCCUACAAGAUUUAACACCGUUGUUUCAACAUCAAGACUCAACGCACUGAUGCACGACACUUCAUUGCUUUACCAUGCAUACCCGGGCAAAUUUGGCGAAUAAACAGGCAUCAGUCACGUCGGGUCAGCAAGAUCGAAAAUCACGCCAUCGAGUUGAACUUAGGAAAACAGUUAUUGGUUCCUGAUUGUUAAAAUUUAACUUGCUAAGUUCAUCUAUGUCUUGUUUGAUGAAAUAAAUGUCAAAAGCAAGUCCCACCCCGAGAAUGUCUCCAAGCAACUUCCCGACUCCUUUCUCCGUGAACCUUUCAAUCUUUCUUGCCAACAUUUUGGCGACAUACUGAUCAAAUGUCUUCCGAUUUUCUUUGUGAGCUCGUUGAGACAGGUUACACUUCCAAGUGUAUGAGCAGAUUGCGCCAACGAAAAAGCGCCCUGGACGUGGUCACCACUCGAAAAAGAGUUUAUCGUUGAAAACACUGAAAAUAUCAAACCAUGAACAGCCAGCUCUUUGUUUAUUUUGACACUUGCCUUGGUUGCUCCCUCAGCACGUGAUUUCUAAUGUGUUCUUUUAUGAGUGUGGGCAUGACCAGUUCGAAAGAAUUCAGUGAAACUUCUACAUGACUUCUUUUCGUGGCAUGUUGUGUAUCAACUGCAUCAAAACUCAAUGUUGCCGUCUUUGAAUUCAACCGAAUUUUCGUCAACGGUUUUUGUCGUUCAGAAAACAAAAAAGACGUGUUUUUAAUCGCGUGCUGCUUGCUGGUGAGGCCACUGUCUUUUUCUCGUUGGAAAUUCGGAUUUGCUGAAAACAUCGCCAAAUUUCUUUCCAUCACAUCGUGAAGAUUAUUAAGUUUACCGGACUUCGGCCUGUCUUUCCUUUAAAAUUUGCAAGGUUCUUUUUUUCAGUGAUCGAAGUUGUUAUCCCAUACGCUUUUGAACAUGACCAACAUCAACCUCGUUCCCAGGCUCUUUGCUCUUGUGAAGCAAAGACCCUGGUCGGGGCUGGUCACGUGACCCAUAGAAAAUUGAUAACCUAAGAGGGGGAUGGAAAAGUAUCAAAUUACAUGUUUCCACUUCGCACCUCACACUUCGAUUGCAAG
rnacentral:lncRNA from 1 species